GUGUCUACAAACCAGGCUUUGACUCAAUAAAUUUCUCAGUUUGGUUUUCCUUUGAAGAUACUUUGUCGAGUUGUGAAUCUUCAAUUAUUGGCAGAAGCAGAGAAUGAUGAAGUCUAUGCACAGAUCACUUUACUCCCAGAGGCAGAUCAAACCGAGCCCAGCAGUCCUGAUGAAUGCAUCCUGGAUCCACCUAAGCGGAUUGUUCACUCAUUUUGUAAGAUUCUAACGGCAUCAGAUACAAGUACUAUGGAGGGUUUUCUGUUCUCCGCAAGCAUGCCA